rnacentral:rRNA from 1 species
UUCAGAGGGUGCAAGCGUUAAUCGGAAUUACUGGGCGUAAAGCGCACGUAGGCGGUUUUUUAAGUCAGAUGUGAAAGCCCCGGGCUCAACCUGGGAAUUGCAUUUGAAACUGGGGAACUAGAGUGUGUGAGAGGGGGGUAGAAUUCCAAGUGUAGCGGUGAAAUGCGUAGAGAUUUGGAGGAAUACCAGUGGCGAAGGCGGCCCCCUGGCACAACACUGACGCUCAGGUGCGAAAGCGUGGGGAGCAAACAGG